rnacentral:rRNA from 1 species
UUUGAAAGGGAAACGAUUGAAGUCAGUCAUACCGGUGGGUAAUCAGCCUCUUGGGUGCGAUUAUGUGGGGCGUGAGGAGUUAAUCACCCUCAUCUUUACAUAUUCGUGCUCUUUGGGUGUACUUGCUCGUGUGGUAGGUUAACAUCAAUUUUGGUCGUCAUAAAAUAAUCGGAGGAAUGUAGCUUCGAUCUCGUAUUGAAGUGUUAUAGCCUUCGGUAUAUGUGAUGAUUAGGAUUGAGGAUUGCAACGGAUACCCUUCGGGGCUACCUGUCUGAUCUCUGAAAGUUGCUCUGGUGCUGAAAGCUUGCUUACAGUAUCAAA